GCGUAGGUGGUGGAAUAGGUCUACACGCCAGCUUGAGGGGUUGGUGAGCCUGAGGGCUUUUGCGGGUUCGAGUCCCGCCCUACGUACCA
rnacentral:tRNA from 1 species